UCUGUAUUGGUUAUUCUAGUUAUACAUUCUUCUAAAUUUUUUUCAAAGUUUUCAACUUCUUUGCCUUUGGUUUGAAUAUCCUCCCGUAGCUCGGAGUAAUUUGAUCGUCUGAAGCCUUCUUCUCUCAGCUCGUCAAAGUCAUUCUCCGUCCAGCUUUGUUCCGUUGCUGGUGAGGAACUGCGUUCCUUUGGAGGAGGAGAGUGAGAUGAACACGGUACCUCAGAUGGAAAUGCAGAAAUCACCCGUCUUCUGCGUCGCUCGCGCUGGGAGCUGUAGACCAGAGCUGUUCCUAUUCGGCCAUCUUGGCUCCUCCCCCCUUGGUCUUCCAUGUGUGCAUCAUUGAAUAAAUAUUGGCUUGUGCUAUUUUAAUGA